UUAAAAAAAAGAAAAUAUUUAAAAUAAAUUGUUGACCAGAAAUAAAAGAAAGAUUCUAUAAAGAAAAAUAAAUUCUAAAAUAAAUCGAUAUUAGCAAUUAAGAAAGAUAAUUAAUAUUAUUAUUAUGAAUGUAUUUAAUUAAGUGGAAUUAAUUGCGGUGAAACAAUUAAUAAAUAAUAAACAAAAACAAUCGAAUUAAUCGACUCGAGUCGUGUAAACAAAAAAAGAAACAAAGAAUCAAAUGGAAUUGACGAGGAUCAAAUAAAAAAAAAAUUUUUUUGAGGAGAAAAAAGAAAAAGAAGAAGAAAAGAAUUUAGAAUAUUUUUUACAUUGAGAAAAAAGAGGCAAAAAAGGAGUUAAUUGUAAAAAAAGGUGUGUGAUAUUGUGUGUGAAAAAGAGAGAAAGCCAAAAGAGAACAGAGAAAAGAGAAAUAAAAGAGAAAGAGAGGAAAAGAGAGAAAAAAUUCAUGGAAAUUAGUUAAAAAUUAGUGGAGGAAACAAAGAACAGAGAAAAGAAAAAAAGGGAAGGGAGUAAAGGAAAAAAGAGAAAAAGGGAGUACAGGAACAUAAAUUUAGAAAAAUUAAAAUUUAGUUGAAAAAAGUUAAUGGAGGAACAACGAGAACAAAGGAGACGAAAAAUAUUGAAACAAAAACGAAUUAACAAAUAAAAAAAUAAAAAAUUUCCAACUAAAAGAAAUAAAAAGAAAAGAAGAAAACUAAAAAAACACAACAGAGAGAAGGAAAAGAAAGAAUAGAAUAGUGCUGGAGGAGAAGAGGAAAAACAGAUAAAAAUAGGGAUAAGAACGGAGGAAAAAGAAGAAAAGAGAAGGGAAAAGUGAAAUAGAGAUAGAAAAAAGGAUUAAAACGGAAUAAAAAAAAGAACAGUAGUGGAGGAGAAGAGGAAAAUAGAUAAAAAAAAGGGAUAAGAACUGAGGAAAGAAGAGAAAAGAUUAAUAAAUAGGGGAUAAGAAAGGGAAAAAAAUUUGAUAAUAGAAUAAAACAACGGAGGAAGAAAUAAAAAAUAAGGAAAAGAAGUGGUAAAAAGGGGUCAAAGAGUAGGAAAAAGGGAUAAAAAAAGGUUCAAACAGUAGAAAAAGGGGGUAAAAAAGGGUUAAAGAGUAAUAAAAAGGAGGUAAAAAUGAUUAAAGAGUAAUAAAAAGGGGGUAAUAUGGUUUAAAGAGUAGAAAAAAUUGGGAAAAGAUUUGCUAAAAAGGUUCAAACAGUAGGAAAAGGGGUAAAAAGGGUUUAAGAGUAUUAAAGAGAGGGAAGAAAAGGUUAAAGAGAAGGAAAAAGAGGUAAAGAAGGGUUAAAAAGUUGUAAAAAGGGUUAAAGAGUAGAAAAGAGGAGGUUAAAAUGGUUAAAGAGUAGUAAAAAGAAAAAAAAAGGGAAAAGAUUGCUAAAAAGGGUCAAACAGUAGGAAAAGGGGUAAGAAAGGGUUAAAGAGUAUUAAAGUGAGGGUAGAAAGGGUUAAAGAGCAGAAAAAAGGGGUAAAGAAGGGUUAAAAAAGUGUUAAAAAGUGGGUAAAAAGGGUUAAAGAGUAGAAAAAAGGGUAAAAAAGGAAAAAAAAAGUGUAAUCUACGGAAGGAAAAAAACGAAGUUAUAAAAGAGAAUUAAAAGCAAAAAAAGAGAGUAUUAAAAGAGGAGUAAGGGAGAAAAUAAGAGUAACAGAGUUUACAAAUAAGGGUAAAUGGACAGUAAUUAGAAGCAACAAAAAGAGAAAGGAAAAAAGAUUAAGAGCAAUAGAAAAGACAGAGAAAGAAACAAAACAAAGAAAGAGUGAAUGAGAAUUAGAGGAUUAAAAAAAAUCAGAAGAGGAAAAGAGAAAAAAAUUUUGUAACAAUAUAGAGUGGAGACGAAGGAAAAAAAAGGGGGGAAAGAAAAUUAGUGAGGGAAGAAAGAAAGAAGAAAAAAGAAGAGGAUUGUAGAGGAGAAGAAAGAAAGAGAAAAAAAAGUGUUAUCAGUAGUUUAUAGAAAAGAGAAGAAUGAAUCUCGAGGUAGAAUUGAUAGCCGGAGUGGUAAAGGGUGGACCUCCCCCUGCCCACUUGCCAGCACCACGUCUCAUCAAGAUAUUCAUUGCUGGUGAAAGAGACGAAUUUCUUGAGGAGAGAAAACAACUUUUGGAAAUUGUUGGUCCAGAAUUGCAAUCAAUCUACGAUGGAAUGGGAAUUGAAGUUUUAUUGGUUGAUAUGCAAUAUGGGACAAUACGAAAUCCAGAUGCUGAUCCAAGAUUGGCUGAAUUAUUUUUGGAUGAGAUAAAUGCAUCUCAUCGACAUUCGAGAGGUUGUUUUCUCCUGCUUUUAGUUGGGUCGGAUUACAGUUCAGGAUGGGUGCCAACUGUACUGAAAAAGGAAACUUUUCAGUCUUUGAUUGCCCAUAACGACCAUCUGGGGGAAUAUUACGAGCUCAAUGGUCAUAAUUACAAUUUAAAGGCCACCAGCGAGGAAACUGCUCAGGAUUCUUGGCAAUUACAUCGAGAGACAAAAAUUCGCGAUGCUCUUGUCACCGCGGCAAAAGCACUUCUUGUCGUGGAUCCCGAAAAUUUGGAUGCAAAAUAUAUUCUCAAAAGUUCAAGCGAACGACAAUUAGAUCAUGGCCUAAAUUUAAGCGAAGACGGCGAGGGAAUAGUGACGAUAAUUCGCACAUGGUCAGGUGGUGGUGUUGGUUGUCCACAAUUGUCGGAAGCGAUAAAAUUAUUGAAAAACCGCGUUGAAUCGUCUUUACCCGAUGAAAAUGUAAUUCGCCUUGAAGCGGAAUAUAAAUCAAAUGGUAUUGACACUGAAUAUCCUUCCCAUGAGGCUUAUCUUGGAAAAUUGCGCGAUUCAGUUCUAAACCGGAUUCAACAUCUCGUCAAUGUAUCCGUGGAAAACGAUCCGGAAAUUAAGAGUCGGAAGAAAAUGGUGCAGGAAGUUUAUGCCGAGAGUCUCUCGCAUCUGUCACUUCUCAGGGAAUCAAGAGCCGUUGACGAAACGGACGAAUCGAUUCUCAGCAUCAAACGACGCUUAUUAGCAGGAAUGGAACAGAAGCAUGGACCAAUUUUAAUUCGCGGUCAACGUUGUUCGGGAAAAUCGUCAAUUCUUGCGCGUAUCUAUGAAAGUUGUCCCAAUUGGUUUGGCGUGCCAACAUUGAGAGUUGUCCGUCUUUGUACAUCGACACCACGCUCUGCUUAUAGUCUUGAAUUAUUGAGAAUACUUUGUGAGCAUGUGGGAUUUUUAUCCGGUAAUAAUGAUGGAAAUGUACCGCGCGAUGCAUCAUUUGAUCCAUUGUAUUUGAAUAAUUGGUUUAAUCAAAUAAUGCGAAGAAUAGAGGAACAACCAUUGACUGAACAAUUGGUGAUAUUGGUCGACGAUUUACAUCGAUUACAUCCACUUGAAUGUGAUAUUGUCGCUGCACUCUCUUGGCUUCCCGUCAAUUUACCUCAGGGCGUACACUUUGUGGCAACGACCGCAGUGCCUCCAGAAGCAUUACGUCUCACUCCAUUGCAAAAAGAACGUUUAAGAAGCAAUGAAAUAUUAAUACAACUACCAGAGCCAAAGGAUAUUGAUAUACCCGACAUUGAAAAAGUAUUGGACAAUCUUGAACGAUUAAUAGGUGUAAAAGCCGCAAAUCGUUUAGGUUCAUUGUUAUCGUGCACUGAAUAUGGUCUAUCGGAGACGGAAAUUUUAGAAUUAAUAAUGCCAACCGGUGACGAUAGUCCACUACAAUUAAUAGAGGGACAAUUUAAUUUUGCAACAUGGUGCCUAGUGAGACGUACACUUGAUUCAUUGCUUAGAGUACGUGUUAUGAGUGGACGUCUUAUGUUUAGUUGGCGUUGGUUGAGUCGUGAAUUGGCACGUAAACGUUAUUUAUCAUCACAAGAUGUUGCCAAGGCAAAUCAUGUGGAGCUGUCAAAUUUAUUCUUCAUGGAGGAAAGUGAGGAGAGUGAAGAGAAAUCACCAGAAGAUCCUGCUGAACAACCAGCAGCAAAGGAAACACCAUUUCAAAGUGCACCACAGACACAUGAUAAUAUUACCUAUACAUUGCGUCAUGUUGAAGAAGCAUGGUUACAUUUACUACAAUCCGGUGACGUGGAUCGUUUGAAAAAACUCGCUGUUUGUGCAUUUGAUUUUCUUCUAGCCGGAUGUCAAAUGAUAUCGGUUAGUUAUUUGCGUUGUGUUUUGGAACAUGCAAGACGUUAUUUACUUGAGAGAGAUCUUGAACUUGUCUACUAUGCUGUGAGAAAGUCGAGUGAUAUUUUGACCCGGGAUCCACUACAAUUGGGAGCACAACUUAUUUGUUGGUUGAGAACUGUUGCUGAGGAUGACAGUGAUCUUGUAUCGCGAAUGGUAAUGGCGGCAAUGGCAUGGUGUGAUGGUUUUACUGCACCUUUACUAGUGCCACUUAAUGGUUGGUUACAGCCACCACUUCCUUUGCAAAUACGUGCAUUAGCCUGUCCACAAGGUGUGAAAUUUGUCGAACCAGCACCGUCGGGUCAACAUGUUGUUGUUGUUCCACCGCAAGGUGAUGCACAACUUUGGCACGUUAUGUCCGGUCAAUUGGUACACACAUUUAAGGGACACUCGAAUCCAAUUUCGUGUCUUGCUGUUACACAACAGUCGCAGUAUUUGUUGACUGGUUCGGAGGAUACGACUAUUAUUGUCUGGGAUAUGCAACAAUUGUCAAUGAAAAGAAAAAUUUGUGAACACAUUGCACCGGUGCUGGCGUUGACACCGGCUUUAAAUAAUUCGGUGAUUGUCAGCGGUGGUGAGGAUUCGAGAAUUAUUGCCACGAGUUUGCUUACGGGUGAGGUGCUGAUGAGAGUGGAUCAUCAUCGAGGUCCAGUUACGGCUGUUAGAGUUGAUGCGGCUGGUGAGGUUUUGGUUUCUGGAUCUGUGGAUGGUAGUGUUUGCCUGUGGUCGUUGGAGACAUUUACCUUGCUCAACAGUAUUCCGCUACCGAGUCCUGUUAUUAAAUUGGACGUUUCUGAGGAUUCGGUGUUUCUACUGGCGGUUUGCGAUGAUCAGAAGAUGUAUCUCAGAUCCCUAGCAACCGGAACGGAGAUUCACACCCUUCGAGGACAUCAAGGACCGGUGAGAAGCAUUUGCCUAGCAAAGGACUGCAGAAGAGCAAUUGCCGGUGGCGCUGAGGGUCGAAUUUCUAUAUUCGACAUGCACAAAGGCAGGCUAAUGAAGAAUCUACCAGCGAAUCCAUCUUCAGACAUAACUUGCGUUAAGGCAACAGAAAAAGACGAUUUCCUCAUUACCGCCGGCGGUGGUCGUGUGACUUACUGGAGUUUUCGAAGUGAAGAAGCCAGACCAAAACCAGGUAAAAAGCAGGAAUCACUUCAGGCUCAUACGGCGCCCAUCUCGUGUCUCGAUAUAUCCAGAGAUGGUGCUAUGGCAGUUACCGGUGGCGUGGAUUCAUUGGUCAAUCUCUGGCAACUCAAUACCCAUGAAUUAUUGUCUACAUUGGAAGGACACGACGCAAGUGUUACAUGCGUUGCAUUUUCCGCUAGUGGACUUUUUGCAGCUUCUGGCUCUGAGGACAAAACGGUGAGAGUUUGGGGUUUGACACUUGGAUUGGUGGUGGCAACAUUUCGUCAUCAAGCGCCAGUUACUUCGGUAAUUGCAAUGUUGGAUGGUAGACGUGUUGUCAGCUCUGACCGUGGUGGUUCGAUUCGAGUCUGGGCGGCUGACAGUGGAACGUUGAUUCAAUCGGUUUGCGGUCCUGGAAGAUGUUUCUCCGUUACGUCCGAUAUGAGAUACGCAGUUUGUGGGAGUGGCGACAAUCAGGUACAAAUUAUAGGCCUUGGAGCGGGUCCAGAGGAGAAGCAUCAAGUCUCCCAUUCACAGGAUAUCACUUGUCUAGUAGUUACCCCAGAUUCCCAAUCACUGAUAACAGGUUCUCGGGAUAUGAGUCUAAAAGUUUGGCAAUUGGCUGGAGGGAAAUUGUCACAAGUACUAGUGGGGCACACAGAUCACGUGACAUGUGUAGCAGUGGCGGUUUUGGAUAAAUGUAUCGUUGUUUCGGGAUCAAGGGAUGCGAAUCUAAUUGUUUGGGACAUCAAUACGGGUGCGGAUUUGCAUACCCUGACGGGUCAUUUGGGUUACGUGACGUGUGUUCGUUUAUCCGGUGAUGGAACACUGGCAGUUUCGGGCAGCGAGGACAAGAGUCUAAUUGUUUGGGAUACAAAGAAGGGCACAGCAUUGAGUUCAAUAAUGCUUCAUGUACCAAUUUUGGGUGUUGAAAUGUCCACCGAUUGUUCCCGUUUGUCACUGUAUCUAUUGGAGCACAAGUGUAUGCCAAUUCUUUGUUUGCACAAUACACCGGCGCAGUAUGUUAAACUUCCUUCUUAUGUUGCUCCAAGGGAUUUAAGACCACCGGGACCGAAACGACCGGCUAGGAGAUUGUUGAAAAAGGAGGUGUCUCUUGAUACUUAUACUUGGCAGAAAAAAUACGGUCAUCUAACAUCAGGAAUAAUGGUAGCGUCCGUUGAGGAGAGACUUAAGCGAAGAUUUAGCGUUAGUGCAUCAAUGGAGGAAAUCAGUAAAGCCGGAUUAACAGGCUCCCAAUCCGGAUUAGGUCCAGAACAAGCGGCACUUGCUCAAUCCCAACAUUUUGAUCAAUUGGAAGCAAUUUGGAAUAAACAAUCACCACCACCGAGACCAAGAGGUCUUGCUAGGACACUAACUAAACAGAAUUCACUUCAUACAACAAGAAUUUCUGAUUCCGAGGAGGAAGGUAGAAGAACAGUUUCGUGUAUCGCCUCCUGAUCCCGCUUGCACAAUUUAUUUCGACAAUUUAGUUUAGAUUGAUCAAAAAAAAAAAAUUUUUGCAACUUAUUCACACACAUAGUGCAUUUUGUCUUGCAGAAAACAAAAAAAUAAAACACUUUAGGCAAAUUGUAUUUGUAUUUAGCAAAAAAAAGUGCAUGUUUGCAAAAUUAGUUCCAUUUUUGUAUGAAGAGUAGUCUUUUCUUUUUAGUAUUUAGAAAAGGAUCGAGAGUUUCCAGAAUUCGCGUAGUGUGAAUUGAGCUUAAGGGUGAUUGCACACUGUGAACGAACUUUAAUGUAACAAAUAAGGUUAGGAGAGACAAAGAAGAUGGAGCUGCCAACCCUGCAAUUUUUGUGCACAUUAAUUAGAUGCAUGUUUCGUUAUUGUGCAAAUAAAGAUCUUCCAGGCUAGUGAAUGAUAAAAAAAAGAUAAGAAGAGAAAAAAAAUUGUAGCAGAUCUGCCAUUUCAUCCUUUUUCUGAAACUAAUAAUUUUCAUGUUUGCUGAAAAAAAGAGAAAAAUAAAUAAAAAAAAAAUUUGUUGUGCAUUUAAAUGCAAAAUAAUGAUGUCAAUAAGUGAGAAAAUUAUAUUUUUUUUUUAUUAUUUAUAAUAUAAAAAAAUAUAUAUAUGUAUAAUAAUAAUCUACGAAACAAAGAGGUGCUGUAAAACAAAAAUUAUUUUUUUCCUGUUAAAAAAUUAUUUAUUAUGUACUUAAUUUUUUUAUUUAAAAAAAAAUAAUAAUAAUAUAUGUUCGUAAUAAAUUAUUUAUAAUUCGU